GGGCGAACGGGAGAACGCGCGUUAAGGAACUAGGCAAAAUAGCCCCGUAACUUCGGGAGAAGGGGCGCCCCCUGCAAGGGGGGCCGCAGUGAAAGGGCUCUACCGACUGUUUACCAAAAACACAGGUCUGUGCAAACGCGCAAGCGGACGUAUACGGGCUGACGCCUGCCCAGUGCCGGAAGGUUAAGAGGAGGGGUGCAAGCUCUGAAUUGAAGCCCCGGUGAACGGCGGCCGUAACUAUAACGGUCCUAAGGUAGCGAAAUUCCUUGUCGGGUAAGUUCCGACCCGCACGAAAGGCGUAACGAGUGGAGCACUGUCUCAACGCGCGACCCGGCGAAAUUGAAGUACGCGUGAAGAUGCGCGUUACCCGCAGCAGGACAAAAAGACCCCAUGGAGCUUUACUCUAGCCUGCCAUUGCGUUAGGACACCUUCUGUGUAGGAUAGCUGGGAGGCAUGGAAGCCUGGGCGCUAGCCUGGGUGGAGCCGACGGUGAAAUACCAGCCUGGAGGUAUCUUGGCCCUAACCAAGCGUAGUGAAGCCUACGCGGGGACAGUGGCAGGUGGGGAGUUUGACUGGGGCGGUCGCCUCCAAAAGAGUAACGGAGGCGUUCAAAGGUGGGCUCAGGCUGAAUGGAAACCAGCCACAGAGAGCAAAGGCAAAAGCCCGCUUGACUGCAAGGCCAACGCGCCGAGCAGAGGCGAAAGUCGAACUUAGUGAUCCUACGGCGCGGAGUGGAACGGCCGUAGCUUACCGGAUAAAAGCUACCCUGGGGAUAACAGGCUGGUCUUGUCCAAGAGUUCACAUCGACGACAAGGCUCGGCACCUCGAUGUCGGCUCAUCGCAUCCUGGGGCUGGAUAAGGUCCCAAGGGUUGGGCUGUUCGCCCAUUAAAGCGGUACGUGAGCUGGGUUCAGACCGUCGUGAGACAGGUCGGUCUCUAUCCGCUGUGGGCGUUAGGAGUUUGAGAGGAUCUGCCCCUAGUACGAGAGGACCGGGGUGGACGGAGCGCUCGUGUGUCGGUUGUCGUGCCAACGGCAUAGCCGAGUAGCGAUCUCCGGAGCCGAUAACCGCUGAAAGCAUCUAAGUGGGAAACGGACCUCAAGAUGAGACUCCUCAUCGUGAAAACGAGUAAGACCGCUGGAAGACGACCAGCUUGAUAGGCCGCGGGUGGACAGGCAGUAAUGUCUGGAGCUGAGCGGUACUAACGGUCGAGGGCAUAGAUCAC
rnacentral:rRNA from 1 species